rnacentral:rRNA from 1 species
UACGGGGGGGGCAAGCGUUGUUCGGAAUUACUGGGCGUAAAGGGCUCGUAGGCGGCCAACUAAGUCAGACGUGAAAUCCCUCGGCUUAACCGGGGAACUGCGUCUGAUACUGGAUGGCUAGAGUUUGGGAGAGGGAUGCGGAAUUCCAGGUGUAGCGGUGAAAUGCGUAGAUAUCUGGAGGAACACCGGUGGCGAAGGCGGCAUCCUGGACCAACACUGACGCUGAGGAGCGAAAGCUAGGGGAGCGAACAGG